GAGCUGCCCUCCCAGAGUCCUCCCCCACUUCCUGCCCACAAACAUUCCACAUCAGAUGUCCGCAGAGAUCCCUGUGUGGACACAGAAAUUUCCCAUGUAGAAAUAAAGGUCUGCCUCCAGGUGGGGGAGAAGGGCAGAGAGGGGGCCAGCUAUGAUUUUAUGUAUACAAUUGUUAGGGUUUAUAUUUGCUCAAAGCAACGUUUUAAAGCGUCCAUAACUAUGGUACGGAAGGUAAAAGAGUCCACCACAAGGUGACUAUGUUUAAUAAGAAUAGUUACAAGAGUAACACUUCCUAGAGGGGCGGGUACUGGGACUUGGAUAUGCAGGGGGAGGAGGCGAGGGCCCUCCUGGGAAAGUGCUGUGAGCCUCCCAGUCAUGUGGCUGCCUGUGGCUGCCUGUGCCUGGGAAGCCAGGGUCUCUGACUGAAGUGCAUCCUCCUCGCGUCCUGCCGGAGCAACCCCCGGAUACAUAGGAGCUGAGAAGAGAAGCCGUGUUUGAGCAAGGCUGCCGGGCCCUGUGGUCUGAAUUCUGUGAAGGAGGACAGCCCCUUGAUCUUGACUCCCCCCUUUUCUUAAGGAAGGUGGUGUGGUGAAUCAGAGGUGGUGAAUCACAGAAAAUCAAAUGCAUGCUGAUCCAGGACAGCUUCAAGAAAAGACUAUAAAAGAUUAAACUCACCUGUGAUACUGAUGCUCAAACACAAUCACUGAAUUUAAGGUCUCACACAGGAAAAUAUGACAUCUCUAAAGUAAGCAUUUCAUCUGCAACCCAUUUUGGAGCAGCUGAACACUGAUGAAUUAAGAAAGUUCAAAUCUCUACUGAUUCCUUCCCAUGAAAGAGUACAUGUGGGCCUCAAAAGCACUCCUGGCUGCCAAGGGCAUUUGGACAGACAACAUUGUUUGAUGAAGAAGAUCGUAGGAGGAUUGGGAUACAGGACAGUGAUCUCUGUCCCUUCCUGGACAAGGCUAUCCUCCAGAGGGACAGACUGUGAGGAUGCUACUGCUUUGUAUAUGUCAGUGUCCAGCAGCUUCUUCCUGCCAUGUUCUACAUUCUAGGACUUAGAGCAGGAUGUUAUCAACAUGGUGAUGUAAACAGCUACUGGAAACUUCUCUCCAGAGACUCAAUAAAAAAAAGGAUAAUUCUGAAUUGUUUAAAACUCUGGAAGAGGAUGGAGACUGGAGAAAGACACUGCAAAAGCUGAACUGAAGAAAGAGAAGAAAUGUCAGGUAGGAAUUUUCUGUCUGAGACCAGGGGUCCUCUCCUCUACCCCUCACUUGGUCUCCAUGUGGAAAAGGCACUGAAAUGGCAGACAGGACCUCUUUCACCAUGGACACAGAUUUUAAAGCCCCACAGUGGUGAAAAAUGCCCUCACUGUUUGAAGACCUGAUGGACAGGGGAGGACAUUUCAAGGCCCAAAUCAAUGAGGGACAAAGAGACUGAGACAACUUGUCCAGAGGCAUGUUUCCAGCCCUGGGUCUGAAAGCCAUUCCCCACCCUAGGGAACAGGCAGACCAGCCUCUGAGGGUGAUUAAGUUACUGAACAGUGCCAUCUGCUGGAAAGUGCAAAAAGUGCAAGGAUCCUUUCUUUGGAAUACACCCUGUAUGGGAACCCAGCCCUGUUUAGGCUGAGAAAUAAAGAAGGCCCAACUCUUAAAGCAGGGACCCUAAUCAAACCCAGGUCUUGCUAACUCAAACCCAUGCUGAAAGAUAUCUGGGUCUUUGAUUUUUCAUACAGGAGUUUUUGCUUUCAGACUCAAAGACACAGACAAGCUUUCCUAUGAUAUUUCUGAAAUGGUGAUUGGAGCAAUUCUAGAGCUGCUUUUUCUAAGAGCAGACCUUCUGGGUACUUUACUCUGCUCAAGUGAUCUUUCUCCCAAAUACUGGCUAUAAAGAGAAGUCUUAGUUCAAAAAUGUGCAUCACAUGGGCUUAUGACUUGAGCUAUUUUCUCUGGAAAAUUUUAUAAACCACAUUCCCAAGAAUUUAGAGAUAAUAUCCCAUCCAGUGUCUCCUCAGUAACCAGUAUUUCUGUUUACAAGUUAAUCAAAAAAGCUUUAAGUAAAGUUUUCAGUUCUAGGACUGGGUGAUUUUCCUGUCUAGGCAGCCAUAAAUUAGAUGCUUUUUAAAUUGGGCCCAACUGGGCUUGGGGUCAGAGCUGCUAAAAGAUCCCACAUUCAUUGAUGUCCUGGAAUUGUGUAGCUUCCCAUAACUAUGUCCUCCAGUCACAAUAAUUGGAAAGUAAUAAGGAGCCAUCAGGGUCAAAAGUGAGAGUUAUGGAAGGUGACAGAAGACAGAGCAUAAUCUAAGACUUUUGGAACUUAUUUUAUGCUGCAAUCAGAAUCCUACCAAAUGAUACAAAAAAUGCCUUCUUAAUUCAAUACACAAGAUUUUAUAAAAUUGCUUUUACAGUAAAUUCUCCAUGUUGAAGAACCAGCAUUAUAAAAUUGGAAUCUAACCAAAUGAUACAAUUUUGCUAGAUUCAUUUCAGAGCCUUAUUACCACCUAGGGGCCCAGUGGAAAAUCAUAAAUCCCAGAAUGGUGACAUUAUAUAAAUAUUCUGAAAAGUAAAUGAAACAAUAAAUUAAUUGAUAGUAGUGAAACAUAUUCCAAUGUUUAAGUUUUCCUUGUAUGCAUGUUCCAUAGAAAUGGAUGAAAUCCAUAAGACAAGGAUGAAGAGUUAAAGGAUGAAAUCUCAUAAGACAAUGGAAGAAUGAAACAUAUCUUAUGGAUAAGGGGUGAUUACUGAAUAUCUUAGACAUGCCUACACAUUGUUAUAUUUUACAUUUCAAGAAAGUUAAAAAGAAGAAAAA